rnacentral:ncRNA from 1 species
AAAUGGGAACAGUGGCUUAAGCCAUUAGGUGUACGCGCUUUCUAGAGGUGGAAGAUUUACAUUCUUCCUAUUUGACCCGAAACCAAUCGAUCUAGCCAUGAGCAGGUUGAAGAGAGCUUUAACAGGCCUUGGAGGACCGAACCCACGCAUGUGGCAAAAUAGGGGGAUGACUUGUGGUAGGGGCGACGCCCUCUACCUCAUCGAGGCAUG